AGUCCUUCAGGCACAGACUGCUCCAGCAUGGGCUUUCCCAGGAGAAUAAGGGAAUAAAAGGGGGGCGGGGGGAAUGCAAAUCUCCAGGGAAGAAGUAAAAGCGGAGCAAUAAUAAACUCCAGAUAAAAUUCUUCUGGGAUAAGUGGCCAAAGUAGGCAUGGUGAGGGGAAAUGAUAAGGCCUGAUAUUUUGAUGCACCCUUCAUCCAAAGCACUUCCUAGUCAUCGCUGACUUAAAAAGAGGCAGCAUAUGAGAUGGGCAAUGUGUGGCUGG